rnacentral:lncRNA from 1 species
ACAAUUUCAAUCAAAUCCCUACUGUUUAAUUACGAUAUCUUGUACAAAUGCAAAUCAAACUCUGAUAAUACUUUCGUCGUCGUUUUCCUUCAUUAAGAUGGAAAAGAAUAAUACCCAGCAAAUAUGAGGCUUCCACAUUUAAACAUGAAAUAAAUUUAUAAAAUGGGGAUUUAAAGAAAUUCUUUUACCUGGGUUUUGAGCCAUGACUAGGAUUCUUUGAAUUGAAGCAGCAAUUUCAACGUGAAAUGAAGCGUCCCUGGUGAAGGGGAUUAUCAUUAACAGCAAAAUAAGUGAGCGCUAUAUUGAAAUUUUGCACAAUAAUUCCCAUUUUCAGUAGUGAUAAAUGAAAAUUGUGUACCAACAGAUUUUCUCCAUGUUUGAGUAUGAGAAUAUUAACAUACUCAUGAUGAUUGAGAAACGGAUUGAUUCUAACAUCUGGAAUGAACAAAAACUGAAUUCAGUUUUUCAUCAAAAUCUAAGGGAAUAAAUGGACCUAUUUUUUCAUGCUUAACCAGUGAUUCAUUAACACAUUGCAUUUAUUUCCUACACACGCUGCUUCCCCUACAUACUUCAAAUUGAAAAUUAGCUCAUAUUCAAAGAAUAUUGUCAAGAGAAAAAGAAAGUAAAUAAUUUAUCAGCUUUGAAAUCGAAAGAGUAAAUAUGUGAAUCAAUAAAUCAAACCGAAGCCUAAAAAAAUCUAAGUUUUUUCAUCUCCACCACUCCUGAUUUUCACUUGCGCGAAUUUAAAAUCAAGAUCCAGCAGAAAACUACGUAGAUGAAAAACAAUUCUGGAAAUUUUUCGUGAAUUUUUAUUGCUUGAAGAAGAGAAGUCAUGUCCAGAAAGAAAAUGGAGAGAAUCCAUCACACGGCCUGAUGAAUGAGAUAUGAAUGAAGUUAGGGAUUUGAAAUGGGG